GUUUUCGCGGAAAGUUUAUAUGUUUUCGAGAUUUUUUCACUGUUUUUCUUGAAAACUCGAUACAUUUUCGCGAAACUUAUCUGGUUAUCGAAUGCAGAAAUAUGCCACCAUAGAUCUGCCAGAUGGUUGGGAGGAGAGAUAUGAUACAAUACGUGGGCGUGUAUUUUAUGUCCAUCGUGAACAAAGGAUUGCUCAGGAUAAAGACCCAAGAAUACCGGGGUUAGAAACUAGUCAGG